CCUACGGGAGGCAGCAGUCGAGAAUCAUUCACAAUGGGGGAAACCCUGAUGGUGCGACGCCGCGUGGGGGAAUGAAGGUCUUCGGAUUGUAAACCCCUGUCAUGUGGGAGCAAAUUAAAAAGAUAGUACCCCAAGAGGAAGAGACGGCUAACUCUGUGCCAGCAGCCGCGGUAAUACAGAGGUCUCAAGCGUUGUUCGGAAUCACUGGGCGUAAAGCGUGCGUAGGCUGUUUCGUAAGUCGUGUGUGAAAGGCGCGGGCUCAACCCGCGGACGGCACAUGAUACUGCGAGACUAGAGUAAUGGAGGGGGAACCGGAAUGCUCGGUGUAGCAGUGAAAUGCGUAGAUAUCGAGAGGAACACUCGUGGCGAAGGCGGGUUCCUGGACAUUAACUGACGCUGAGGCACGAAGGCCAGGGGAGCGAAAGGGAUUAGAUACCCGUGUAGUC
rnacentral:rRNA from 1 species